GUACUUGGCUUUUGCAACACCACCGGCUCGCUGCUGCUUCUACUUGCAAAGUGGACAAGGGACGGCGUUGUCUAUACCGUUGCGAUUCGUUUGUACCCAUGUGUUCAGGUCUCCAUCAGACGGGGACAUUGUUUUUGUUUGGAAACAGGGACACGGGCGAUGGAACGAAUCCGAGCCAGGCAAGGAACGGAAGGCCAGGACGCGCAGCCAAUCCACUCCCGGCCCCGUCGGCGAGAUCUGGCCGCCACAACGCCGAGGCACGGAUAUCCUGGCCUGCGUGGGCACGGUGUAUAGGCUUGCCCUGACGGACCUGCCCUUCUCUCUCUCCAUCGGUAUAUGAAAUGCCAUCAGCUGCGCAUUGCGAUUUCAGUCUAGGCAUCCCUAGGUGUUGGAUCGUCGGCGGCGGCGGCGGCGUAGAAAAUAAAACCUGCAGAUUGCGAUAGUUGUGCUUUGGAACAGCCUCUUGUCCUCCGACAUUGUACUACGUGACAGGCGAAAGCCUCUGUUAUUAUUCUUUCCAUUUCAUGUGGAGGUUAACUUGAAAACGAUGCGUACGCGAUUUUACUAUUUUCCAAUCCGAGGUGAUGCAAACAGACAACCAUGUUAAUA